rnacentral:rRNA from 1 species
UACGGAGGGAGCUAGCGUUGUUCGGAAUUACUGGGCGUAAAGCGCGCGUAGGCGGCUUUGUAAGUUAGAGGUGAAAGCCCGGAGCUCAACUCCGGAACUGCCUUUAAACUGCAUCGCUUGAAUCCAGGAGAGGUGAGUGGAAUUCCGAGUGUAGAGGUGAAAUUCGUAGAUAUUCGGAAGAACACCAGUGGCGAAGGCGGCUCACUGGACUGGUAUUGACGCUGAGGUACGAAAGCGUGGGGAGCAAACAGG